GACGAACGUUGGCGGCGUGCUUAAUACAUGCAAGUCAACUGAAGCAGUGGUAGCAAUAUCGCUGUGGAGGUGGCGCACGGGUGAGUAACACGUAGGUAAUCUGCCUUCAGGUCUGGCAUAACUCCGGGAAACCGGGGCUAAUAGCAGAUGAUGCAGCGGCUCGACAUCGAGACAGUUGUUAAAGCUAUGGCGCCUGAAGAUGAGCCUGCGUCUGAUUAGCUAGUUGGCGGGGUAACGGCCCACCAAGGCAACGAUCAGUAGCUGGUCUGAGAGGAUGAUCAGCCACACUGGAACUGAGACACGGUCCAGACUCCUACGGGAGGCAGCAGUAAGGAAUAUUGCUCAAUGGGAGAAAUCCUGAAGCAGCAACGCCGCGUGAGGGACGAAGGGCGUUUGCUUGUAAACCUCUGUAGUGAGAGAAAAAAAUCCCAAUCUUUGGGACAUGAUGGUAUCUCAAAAGUAAGCCCCGGCUAACUACGUG
rnacentral:rRNA from 1 species